UCUCUGAGCUGAAAUAUGUUUAUACAUACAAGUAAACCAACUCAGUUCACUUUUUACGUGCGUGCAUAAACGCCUGUGGACCAAUACUUCAUUUUCUUUUGACAGUAGCUGUAGUGGCCCUUUUGAAUAACACCAGUGGAUGAUGCUGCAGUGCAGUGGUGAGACUGGGGUACGUCCGAAGAGCGGCAUCACCUUUUAAUGACCGUCCUGUACUACCAUCUUUUCCCAAGGACAGGCAGGGCAGCGGCAGCCUCUGCAGGGGGAUUGUGCUCCCUGCUGGUUUCAGAUGGCACGCGUGGGAGCCCGACAGAGGAGGAUUGAAAAACGCACAGCUCUGAGGAGAUGACAGGAGAGAGAAGUAUUAAGGACACCAGUGUUGGCAGAGCAGUGGGGAGGU